AGUGGCUCGGAUGGCGUUAGCGUUUAUGUACACCUCGAUUCCCAAACCCUUCUCAAAACUAUGGUCGAAGACGUAAGCAAGAGUCUGUACAGAGAGCAAAGACAUUUUGUUGGCGAAUGAGGAAUAAGACGCUUCAUGAUGAAAUACUCCCGACCAGUCUCAUGCAGAGCUAACAGCGUUUCACACCUGUCUUCACAGGAUCACGCUGUUCAGCCAACUGCACAGAAUUGACUCACCCGGUUGAGCACUCGCCGCAAUUUCUCAGCAUCUAGCAUAACUGAUGAAGGGCAUCCUGCACCGAAUGUGCAACUAAGCGGCAUGUGCUUUGUCGUCGCUUUCGGGCGGAAGGACUCCAAGCAAUCCUCUACGAGGGAACGAAGAUUGGCCAAAUCCGUAUUCGUCUGUAUGGAAGCAAACUCCUGGAACGGACGACCACCACGUAGCCAGACUUGUAGUUCUCUAGGUCAUCCCUCCUCAGCAUUUCUAUUUCUGUGGUUCACCGGUUCUCCUGGAUGUAGUUCCACCGACGCCCGCUCGAAGCCGUGAGAGAAGCAGGUGCUCUGUUGUCUAAAGGCGAGACACCGGGCCCUGAGAUCACUGCCCUGCCGGCGUAUAUUGUGUUGAACACAUCUUCAGGGGCGCGUUGCCAACAGAUGUUUCACAGCAUGAUUGUUUCCGUUUUCUACUCCCCUUUCACUUUUUCCUGCACUUGCAUUUGGAUUGAGGAGCACGGAUGUUAGAGUUUCAUGUCCCACAUUAUACUCAUGGGCCAGCCGAAGAAUUUUGGGACGGUUCCCUAGCCAUAUCUCACACGAAGAAUCUCCUGGAGAAAGAACUACAAUAACUGAAGCACCCACUGUUGUCCCGUACUUGGAAGGUUUCCGCCUCAGCUACAAUGUAGUCGAGAACAUUGAUGGACGUUGCCAUGAUAUCAGCAGUUGAUUUCUCGAGAACCUUUAGCAAC
rnacentral:lncRNA from 1 species